UUCAUCUAAGGUCUCAUAUCCGUCUGAUGAUUCAUAGCCAUGAGCAAACGGCGUGUAGCAGAGCGAUGCGUUGAUGUUCACCCGUGCAAUAACAUUACAAGCAGAUGUUGAGAGGGUAUCAACUAUUUGUGUGGAAGCAGAUGAGCCGACAGCUCACAUAACUUCAGAGCGAGCAACGGGUUCACUGGCCUAGUGCUUGGUGCUAGAGGCCUGCUGGACGACGGCUGUCAUGCUCUCUGCGUGACUCGUGCCUACGUAGAGGGGGGGCUCAUACCAGGGGUCUGACUCAUAGCAACACUCAUCUCCGUACGGCCACCACAUCCGUCCCAGCGCAGACCACCGUCCUGUCCGGCCGAGCACGUCGACCCGGUGAGCAAGGAGCCGGCCGUCCGUCUCUGAAUGAAAGGCAGAUGGGGUGUAAGGAGGGGGCGUCAACGAGACCCAACGGCAGGAGGUACAAAGACUGGCCUGUAUGGACGCCCCUGGGCGGGGCCCUGAUAAGACCCAUGAGUCAACACGUGGACUUCUGCUACUUCCUCAUUCGGCCCAGCGGGUUGUUAUACUCUGUGUUUGCGUGCAAGUGCUUCUCCUCUCUCGCCGGAACAAAGCAUUUCCCUGGAGAUCAGCGAGGUGAUUCACUGGGCUGUCAUCCGUCGACCUCUGAAUCAGAACAUGAGAAAAACAAACCGUAACAUCAGCAGACCUGCGGCUGUAUACAGCCCCCCCCGCCCCUGGGACAGUAGAACAGAUAUGAGUUAUGUUCUUAUUAUACGUGUUGAUGCCAGAGAUAGAGACCUCUUUCAUAGGUUCCCCAUCAGUAGGGCUGCCUCUAAUCCUGCCACAUUUGGUCACGUCUCUGCUGACCUUGUCAUCAAGCAGCGUUUCAGGGACUUGCCAGCGUUGAUUGUAAACAACUCAGUGAAUGAUAUGCGGCACAGAACUCUGCCUUUCCACCUUCCUUCUGCAACGGAUUUCUGUUGUUCCUCUGUCUUUAAUGCUGGCGUACUAUUGCCAAACAAAAGAAAUGUGCGCCUCUAGCUUUAACAAAGUCUUCAGAGUUCAGCAGCGGGAGGAAUCCAUCUGACUCGGUUUCCCUGACGCCCUGGCGUCCUGCAGAUGUAGGCCCUUCAUCUCGCCCGCACGGUGGAGCUCUCUGAACACUGAACCGCCAUCGGGAACCGCCCCUACGCCAGGUAUCAGGUCGUAUAUAAGAAGAUCUGAGGCGCAGCCUUCCAUUUACAUCUUGAAAUAGACAGCUCUACCCAGGCCUGAGUCAGUCACCCCAUGUGUAUUUCUCCAUGGGGCAGUCCAGAGGCCACUCAUGCGUGUAUCCACUAGGCGCCUGUCAAAGGCUUUGCGUUGGGUCCAAUAGUCCCCGUGCUAAAGUUAAAGUGCUGGCUCUGCGGCUGGCCCUCAGAGGCAGGGCACCUCUCCUUCCGCCCCCCCGUCCCCCCGUGGUGACCAGGGCGAGCUGUGGCGAGGAAAGGCCUCCUCCACAUGUGUGUUUACCCACCAGCUAAAACCAACAGGCUAUAUUUACCCCGCUCAAACAGACCCAGGAAUGAGCCGUCCAGCAGGGACUAGAACCAGCGCAGGAGGGACGAGGAGAACGGGCCGGGCCACCACACACUGGGGUACCCCCCCC
ensembl:lncRNA